rnacentral:rRNA from 1 species
GAUGAACGCUAGCGACAGGCCUAACACAUGCAAGUCGAGGGGCAGCACAUGAGUAGCAAUACGAUGGUGGCGACCGGCGCACGGGUGAGUAUCGCGUAUGCAACCUACCUUCCACAGGGGGAUAGCCUUCCGAAAGGGAGAUUAAUACCGCAUAAAACAGGGGCCCCGCAUGGGGAUAUUUGUUAAAGAUUUAUCGGUGGGAGAUGGGCAUGCGUUCCAUUAGCUAGUUGGCGGGGUAAUGGCCCACCAAGGCAUCGAUGGAUAGGGGAACUGAGAGGUUUAUCCCCCACACUGGAACUGAGACACGGUCCAGACUCCUACGGGAGGCAGCAGUGAGGAAUAUUGGUCAAUGGGCGGGAGCCUGAACCAGCCAAGUCGCGUGAAGGAAGACGGUUCUAUGGAUUGUAAACUUCUUUUGCACUGGGGUAAAACGGGGGACGUGUCCCCCCUUGCAAGUACAGUGCGAAUAAGCAUCGGCUAACUCCGUGCCAGCAGCCGCCGUAACAC